AGGUGUUCAGAGAAAGUGUGGGAAAACCCAUAUUUCUGCAUUGUCAUUCGAACACAGAAAACACAGGAGGAAAAUGAGCUGUCACUCCAAUUCCCAUGAUGCCUUGCUGCUUAGCAUAACUCUACAGUGCGGCCCUGGGUCCACUGGUCCAUACUCUGACAGAUAAUUAAGAAAGCAGCAGCUUUUUCUAGACGGCUCUUCCUCAUGAUUUGCAUUUUAGCCAGAGGCGACCAGUUAUAAAAAAAACAUGAUGGAAAGAUGGUAAGAAGCCAAUUAGAUGGAUGGAUGGCUGACUGACAGCUCUCUGGUAUCACGACUCCAGAUUUCAGACUACAUAGCCUGGCAGUUUUCUACAAGAACCAACUUUUUUGCAGAAGGUCAUACAUAUGCUAUUUGAGAGUUCACAGCUAGCUCCUCACUACUCAAAUUGUGAGUGUUAUUGCCAGACUGCGGAGAUGCACAAGAACUGACUUAAGAAGCAAGGAGAUUAUUCAUGCUCCUGCACACUCUGUUAUCUCUGGGAACUCUUAAUCGAUGCAGGGUGAGAGCCAGUUAGCACGACUGAGGUUAGGGUAAACGGGCUGUUCAGGGGAAGAUAAAUUAAAAUGUGAUUUUUAUUCAAAUUGGAAUAUAGAGAACAUCAUCCAAGAAGGAAAGGAGGAUAAUAUAAAUAAAUAAAAAUUUACCUACUGAAUCACUUGCUCUAUUGAAUCUAGUCCUUGAAAUUCCAAAGAAAUUGUAAUAUGCUUUGACUAAAGGAAAUGAUUUGGGGGAUUUAUAUCUAACUCAUUGGCUUCUGAAGUUAUGCUGAAAUAUAAAUUCUCACAUGCUAGAAAUGUCUAAUAAGUAUACCUUAAUAUGUAAAUUAAAUUCUCUUAUAGAAAAUUGUACUGUACUCAAAAAUCAAAAACUAAAUUCUAAGUAACAGUUGAUGCUUCAGUGAUUAUGAAGAAAAUAGAUGGCAGACCAAAAUUCUAGUUGUGAACACUCAAAUUUAGGUUACAACUUUGGAGCUCAGUAGGGC
rnacentral:lncRNA from 1 species